UACAGAGGUCUCAAGCGUUGUUCGGAUUCAUUGGGCGUAAAGGGUGCGUAGGCGGCGCGGUAAGUCGGGUGUGAAAUUUCGAGGCUUAACUUCGAAACUGCAUUCGAUACUGCGGUGCUUGAGGACUGGAGAGGAGACUGGAAUUCAUGGUGUAGCAGUGAAAUGCGUAGAGAUCAUGAGGAAGACCAGUGGCGAAGGCGGGUCUCUGGACAGUUCCUGACACUGAGGCACGAAGGCCAGGGGGAGCAAACGGG
rnacentral:rRNA from 1 species